CUUCAGUGAUGAGACGAUGACGAGUCGGAGCAGGACUUCAUCUGUUCUGGUGGUUACUGCUUCAGUGUCACGUUCUGUGGUUCUGUGGCGGUUCUUCAGAGCAGGGGGUCUUUUUCAUGUGAAGACAUCGAGGCAUUUGUCUGAGAAGG